UGGAGGCUUGAGAAGGUAGAGCAGUGAAUUCUCGUACUGCUUUUUACUGGUUAUAGCCUCCUACAUCAACUUUGCUGAAUCGUGAUGUUUCCCGGUGUCUGUUGGGAAAUUAUCUAUCAUUUGGUAAAAACAA